AAUGGAUUUCUACAGUAGCAGAGCAGCUUUUCAAUCAUCAUCAGAUCCCUUCGGAGGUGAGCUGAUGGAAGCACUUGAGCCUUUUAUGAAAAGUGCUUCUUCAUCGCCGCCGCCGCCGUCUUCCCUCCCCACCACCGCCACGUCUCCUCCUUCCUUCGCCCCUUUCCUUCCCUCUUUCCCUUCUUCCUCCUCCUCCUACGACUUCCUCUCUUCCUCAAACCAGCCCAGUUUCUACGAUUACGGUUGCUCCACCUCCUCCAUGACCCAAUUGUUUUCAGAUGGGUUAUUUGAGAAGCACCACCAGCAACUGCCGUCAAUCGGGCUGAACCACCUGACCCCCUCCCAGAUCCACCAAAUCCAAGCCCAGAUCCAGUCCCAAUCCCAAUCCCAAUCCCAACCCCAACAAACCCAAAUCUCUUGGGAAAACCACCACCAACAAGUUUCUCAGCCGUCGUCUCAUACUCUCAGCUUCCUCGGCCCC
rnacentral:lncRNA from 1 species